rnacentral:rRNA from 1 species
UACAGAGGUCUCAAGCGUUGUUCGGAUUCAUUGGGCGUAAAGGGUGCGUAGGCGGCGCGGUAAGUCGGGUGUGAAAUUUCGAGGCUUAACUUCGAAACUGCAUUCGAUACUGCCGUGCUAGAGGACUGGAGAGGAGACUGGAAUUUACGGUGUAGCGGUGAAAUGCGUAGAUAUCGUAAGGAAGACCAGUGGCGAAGGCGGGGUCUCUGGACAGUUCCUGACGCUGAGGCACGAAGGCCAGGGGGAGCAAACGGGG